GAUGAACGCUGGCGGCGUGCCUAAUACAUGCAAGUCGAGCGAACGGACGAGAAGCUUGCUUCUCUGAUGUUAGCGGCGGACGGGUGAGUAACACGUGGAUAACCUACCUAUAAGACUGGGAUAACUUCGGGAAACCGGAGCUAAUACCGGAUAAUAUUUUGAACCGCAUGGUUCAAAAGUGAAAGACGGUCUUGCUGUCACUUAUAGAUGGAUCCGCGCUGCAUUAGCUAGUUGGUGAGGUAACGGCUUACCAAGGCAACGAUGCAUAGCCGACCUGAGAGGGUGAUCGGCCACACUGGAACUGAGACACGGUCCAGACUCCUACGGGAGGCAGCAGUAGGGAAUCUUCCGCAAUGGGCGAAAGCCUGACGGAGCAACGCCGCGUGAGUGAUGAAGGUCUUCGGAUCGUAAAACUCUGUUAUUAGGGAAGAACAUAUGUGUAAGUAACUGUGCACAUCUUGACGGUACCUAAUCAGAAAGCCACGGCUAACUACGUA
rnacentral:rRNA from 1 species